ACCUGGAAAUCAAUAUCAGUCGACGUCCAGGUUCACUUGGAACUGCAGUCACAACAGAAUGCGCAACAGUUGCGUCUGAACGAAAGACAGGGAACGAUAUAUUGUGUUCGAGAUAUCAUUAAUCGGCGGUUGGCAGUGAGAAGAGCUCCGCGAUGACGGGUGAGGUGAGGCCCAGGCCCAUCGAGGAGCUGUCGGUGCCCGAAGAAACCGCGACGCACGUGGAGGAAACCGCUGCGGAACGUUCGAUCAAAACAUCCGACAUCCACAUCUGGCUGGGCAUCAACAUCAGCAUCGUCCUGAUGCUGACGAUCUUCGGUGUGCUACUGUUCCUGCCUCUGCGAUUGCUGUUGCACACGACCUACUAUACCCGUAGUCAGGCGGUCGUUAACAACGACACGACCGAAACGGCCGAAACGGCCGCCGACAACGCAACGUUCGUCGAGGCGGUGGCGAUGAUCCCGAUUGAUCAUCGGAAGAUGAGACGCUGCCCGAGAUUCGAGUACAAGGAACGUCUGAUGUCGGUGUUCGUCUGCGAUUACGACCGGAAUUGCACCUACAGGCGAAUCGACCCGACCAAGGAUCCGACGAGAAACGUCCACCGUGCGGAAUCGAACGACGCGGUCGGGAAUAAAAGCGAGGAAUCGAGCGUCUCGAAGGAGACCGAUGAUAAGAACUUGACAGAAUGCACGGAAGAUAGUGGGAAAGAUCGUCGAAUGAAAUCCGUUGCUGUGGCGGGGCGUAUUCUCGUGACGAUGCUUCUGAUGUCAGCGAUAGCUGCUCUAGUCGAAGUAUUGCGAAUACGUUUCGCUAGAGACAAGGAAUCGUCUAAGGCAGGUAAUGCCAGUUCAAGAUAUGCUUCCACGAUCGAAAUCCCCAUGAAGAGACGCUUUAUUCCGAGGCAACCAAUGAACAGUCAGAGGUCUUUUGAAAUGCAAGGCAUGCAUCGAUCCGCUUUACGCUUAUUAGGUGCAAAACCGCCGCCGCUAAUACGCCGAUCCUCGUUUCCGUCGCAGCAAGCUAAGCAAACUGCCGGCCCGGUUAGCGUCACUCCGAAUAAUCGGUUGUCACGACGCCAAUCGGCAGAGGCAGAGGAAGAAAUCGGCACCCUCAUUAACGCCCUUCACCACCGUACACGCCUGAUUCGGCGGCAUUAAGUCAAGCCAAUGUAUUGCGUUAUUUGAAACUACAUUCGCGUUAACACUAACAGGGUAUGCAUCUUAGACUGAAGGGUCACACGCAUCGCACAGUGCUCAUGUCCACGACUUACUAAACAAUUCUUACUACUUGGGAAAAACUACCAUCCGAAACGACUUCCAUAAGAGACGUUUAUUCUUCCAGUUUGUAUUUUGCAACUAUGACAAUUUAUUAGAAAAUUUACACUAUCAGCGAAACUCCUCUGGUGCCAAACUAUGCAACUAUUUUGCUUAUAUCUCUUCAUAGUUCUACACACAUUUAUAAUUAUCUAUAAGGCGACGCGGUCAACAUACGGCGUUUAUGCGAAUAAAAGACCGCAAAAUCUGUUCGGGACCGGAAAUGGAAGGAAGCUAACGUCCUUGCUUGCUCGUAUCUUUUUACGUACGAAAUCGUAACACAACGCACAGGCUAUGUGAAAGUAUUAAAAACAAAUGAAUGUAUUUUCGGAUAAAAUUGCAAAUUAUUUUCGCGAUAUUUUCUAAAAUUUAAAGAAUUACAUGUACCUCCCUUCGAUACUUCUGUAAUUUUCAUCGUUUCUCACGUGAUAUGCAAAAUGUUGAAUAUAACUUGUGAAAUUUAUACAUAUGUACAUAUAUUGGUGUUCCAUGAAUAAAUUUUAUUAUUCUCUACUA